ensembl:lncRNA
GCUCUAUAACCAUCUGUUUAGUCCUGAAUGUCGGCCUGCCACCGGCGUCCCCCCGAUUUUUGUGAUCUAUUUCGGGCCAGAAUGGCGAGGUCCACUCUGGCCCACAACAAUCAACAAGAGGCGCUGCGUGACGUCAGCAGCGGAAACAUCGGGCUCGUCUGUUCAAAAUGGCAGCGUCUCAAUCAGGAAGUGAAGAAAACAACUAAGAAGAAUAAGUUGAUUAAAACAGCAUUUUCCCGGCCAAUUCGACGCCAGCUGUUAUUACAAAUUACAGCGCUGCUUGGAUGUUGGAUUUAUAACCAUACGAACACACGGUCAUGAAGAUUAUUGGCCGUUAGACAUACUUGCUCAGACGCAGAGCGUGUGUGUGUGUGUACGUACGUGUGUGUACGUGUGUGUACGUACGUACGUGUGUGUGUGUGUGUGUGUGUGUGUGUGUGUGUGUGUUUGUGUGUGUGUGCUCGUUUGUUUAUGUGCGUACGUGUGUGUGUGUGUCCGUGUGUGUGUGUGUGCAUGCGCGUGUGUGUGGGUGUGUGUGGUGGUUUCAUUAGCAUCUGGGUAUUUUUCCCCACACAUUGGUAUUCUCCUGGCCUGCUCGUGUGUGUGUGUGUGUGUGUUGUGCAUCCUCAGCUGUUCCCGCUGGUCAUAAAAACCCUUCGACAUGUACGGCAUGCAGAAAAAAGUGUGUCAUGGGGUCAGUGUGACCAACUCUCCACGCUUUGGCGCAGUCCCCUUCCUUCUAGCUCGCUCUCCCUCUGUUUCCCUGUCUCUUUGUCUCUCUCUCUCUCACACACACACACACACACACACACACACACACACACACACACACACACACACACACACACACACACACACACACACACACACACACACACACACACACACACACACACACACACACACACACACACACAGGAAUUUUUUUCCAGCUCUCUUCACUCCCCCCUCUGUUGCUCUCCGUGUUACGGCGGCUUCUCCCUGGACACGUGUGCGUGGCGUGCGUGACCUGUCCUCCUGGUGGACGGGGCCCUGCCGCUGUGUUGCUAUGCUCAGGCACAGGGCUCUCUCCGGUUUCUUUCUGCGAGGGAGUGAGUGGGCCUUUUGUCCUGCCUUUCAUUUAUUAUUAUUUUUAUCGCUGUGUUUCAUUUUCUG